UAGGGAAUUUUCGUCAAUGGGCGCAAGCCUGAACGAGCAAUGCCGCGUGAACGAGGAAGGUCUUCGGAUCGUAAAGUUCUGUUGAAGGGGAAAAAGAGCGGAGAGAGGAAAUGCUUUCUGAUUGAUAUUACCCUUCGAGGAAGUCACGGCUAACUACGUGCCAGCAGCCGCG
rnacentral:rRNA from 1 species